GUUAUCAGCAGUUUUAUGUUCUCCCCUUUUUCCUCCCACGUCCCAGGUAACCUCCAUCCUCAAUUUUAUGGUCUCCUCUUUUUACUCCCUACGUCACAGAUCCACCUAUAGAUGAACAAAUGGAUGUUUCUAUGAAUCAAACUCUCAAAAAGAUUGAUAGCUUUACUCAGCAGGUAAUCAUAUCCAUGUAAUCACAACCCGAUGACAUUGAGGAGAUUCUCUAUGGUUGCAAGAGUUCGAGACGUGAUUUCAUCCACAGAUGAUUCUGUAACAAUAGCCUUAUAUUAUGGGUUCAAGAAGCAAAUCCACGACGAUGUCUAAAAAGGUAAAGGAAAUUGGGAUAAUUCAAGACCCACUCUGCAAAAGAUACCCUACCAUCGCUACAUAAUGGAAGAAGAACACGAGAUUGGUAUUUGGGGGAUUCUAAUUUCUGGUCUAAUUAGAGCUACUACCACUACUCUUACUGUAUGUAUUUGUUUUAUUUGCGUUGUUAAUCAAACAAUGUCUUUCUCUUACUUGCUCCUAGGUUCUUUUUUCCAUCACUAAUUGUUUGAUUCGUUUUAGGUCAUGUAUACAAGUUUAUUUGAGUGAGUCUGCACAAUAUAUGUGUGUUUAUGCGUACUAAUUACAUCUAUUCAUGGUUUAGAUGUGUAUCAAGCACAAAUACAGUUACAAUUUUGCCCCUUCCACUGAUUUGGUUAAAGAAAUGCAGAUGUUUUCAAGGCAUUGAUUCUCUCUGUGGCAACAUGUUUAAAUAAUGCAUCAGGUCCUCGAAAGGAACACUUAGUGGUUCAGGUGCUGGGCUCAUAGUGUUGUCUUCACAAUUGGCCAGAUAAGAAGCUCUGCACACUUGAAUUUGAGACACGGCGUGCUUCAUAUUACUGGUUACUAGAUGCACUGGGUCUUUACCAGCCUUACGUAUGGGAGUAUUCACGUUUGAAUAUAACCAACACUGCGAUGUCAAAAGGUAAAUUGAACCGACUAGUGAUCGAGAACUAUGUGGAUGGAUGGGAUGAUCCACGUUUGAUGACACUAGCGGGAUUGAGGCGUAGGGGUGUCACUUCUACAGCAAUAAAUGCUUUUGUUAGAGGAAUUGGGAUUACCAAAAGUGAUAGUAGUAUGAUACGUUUGGAGCGCCUUGAAUAUCAUGUACGGGAAGAACUUAAUAAAACAGCUUCUCUUGCGAUGGUUGUGCUACAUCCACUAAAGGUAGUUAUUACCAAUCUUGAACCAAGUUCAAUAAUAGAUCUUGAUGCAAAGAAAUGGCCAGAUGCCCCUGUUGAUGAUGCAUCUUCAUACUACAAGGUAGACUUCUCACUCUCUCUCUCUAUGUAUUGGUAUUAUGAUGGUGUAUUGCAAAAAUGGGUAG
rnacentral:lncRNA from 1 species